CGUCCAGCCCGCUCAGAAACUCAAAGGAAUUGACGGGGCCCGCACAAGCGGUGGAGUAUGUGGUUUAAUUCGAUGCAACGCGAAGAACCUUACCUGGUCUUGACAUCCCGGAGACCCUUAGGAAACUAGGGGUGCUUCCAUCUGGAAGAAUCUGGAGACAGGUGCUGCAUGGCUGUCGUCAGCUCGUGUCGUGAGAUGUUGGGUUAAGUCCCGCAACGAGCGCAACCCUUGCCUUUAGUUGCCAGCAGUUCGGCUGGGCACUCUAAAGGGACUGCCGGUGUUAAACCGGAGGAAGGUGGGGAUGACGUCAAGUCCUCAUGGCCUUUAUGACCAGGGCUACACACGUACUACAAUGGCCGAUACAAAGGGCAGCGACACUGCGAGGUGAAGCCAAUCCCGUAAAAUCGGUCUCAGUCCGGAUUGGAGUCUGCAACUCGACUCCAUGAAGUUGGAAUCGCUAGUAAUCGUGGAUCAGCAUGCCACGGUGAAUACGUUCCCGGGCCUU
rnacentral:rRNA from 1 species